rnacentral:rRNA from 1 species
GAUGAACGCUGGCGGCGUGCCUAAUACAUGCAAGUCGAGCGAACGGACGAGAAGCUUGCUUCUCUGAUGUUAGCGGCGGACGGGUGAGUAACACGUGGAUAACCUACCUAUAAGACUGGGAUAACUUCGGGAAACCGGAGCUAAUACCGGAUAAUAUUUUGAACCGCAUAGUUCAAAAGUGAAAGACGGUCUUGCUGUCACUUAUAGAUGGAUCCGCGCUGCAUUAGCUAGUUGGUAAGGUAACGGCUUACCAAGGCAACGAUGCAUAGCCGACCUGAGAGGGUGAUCGGCCACACUGGAACUGAGACACGGUCCAGACUCCUACGGGAGGCAGCAGUAGGGAAUCUUGCGCAAUGGGCGAAAGCCUGACGGAGCAACGCCGCGUGAGUGAUGAAGGUCUUCGGAUCGUAAAACUCUGUUAUUAGGGAAGAACAUAUGUGUAAGUAACUGUGCACAUCUUGACGGUACCUAAUCAGAAAGCCACGGCUAACUACGUG